rnacentral:rRNA from 1 species
AUGGAGACCUGUAUGAAUGGCAUAACGAGGGCUUAGCUGUCUCCUCUUUCAAGUCAAUGAAAUUGAUCUCCCCGUGCAGAAGCGGGGAUACGCACAUAAGACGAGAAGACCCUAUGGAGCUUUAGACACCAAGGCAGACCAUGUUAAACACCCCUAAAUAAAGGGCCAAACCAAAUGAUCCCUGCCCUAAUGUC